UGUUGAUGGUGUAGAGGGUGCCCUCUUACCGGAUCUCGCUCAUGGACGUGAGGCUUAUCACUCUCCCGGUGUACGGACUCCGGCGCGCCGCCGACCGCGCCUAGGGUUUCGAUCCCCUGCUUCCUCUUCGCUGGUUUUUUUCCCCUCUCGUCCUAACUAUUUUCCGUUCUUUUCAGAAAAGCCCUUCUCUAUCGCUCCUCCGCGUCGUCUCCCCCCGGAAAUCUUUACGCCGUACGCCCCUCUCCCUCCUCCGGCCCAAAACUUUGAAAUCCUACAUGUAACCCAUGUAACCUUUUUUCUUAGAGGAUGUUAGCCCGUGUAACUCAUAAUAGAUAGAUGGAAAGCACCACGCGAGGCCCAUCUUCCGCACCAGCGCUGCGGCCCAGAACGGUUCUAAGGCGGGAAUCAUGUCCAUAAUAUUGGAAAUUGAUGCUAUUUAUAGUAGAUAAAUGACUAGGAUGGGAUGGAGAAAAAAACAAUUAGAUGGAUGUGAAUGAACAUGAACUUUCUCCCUUCAUCCUCAUUUUAAAUUUUCUAGGUUUAUAGGUGUUUGUAUACAUCUAGACAUACACUAUAUUUAGAUGCAUACAAAUACUUAUAAACUAAAAAAUCCAAAACGACCUCUAAUUUGAGACGGAGGGAGUAGAUGAUAAACAUGAGGUGGG
rnacentral:lncRNA from 1 species